rnacentral:RNase_P_RNA from 2 species
UCCGCUGCGUUCUCUGCUACAAAUACAGACUGCUCCUGCUUUCACCAGCAGUUGAGCGUUCGUCUCUUUUUGCAGAUGAGAAAUUCGGAGUAAUCUUCAACCUCGCACUGUUGUCCCAAAUCAUCCUUGAUUGGGCGACCACAGGACUGCCCGCGAGGGCCUGGCACGAUUCCGUGCCUGCAAUCGGCAUCAGAAAUUACAGGGCCUCGGGACAAUCAUGGUCGACUCGUCGGCCAUGUGUCGCCUCUGAGGGUUUCCCUAUGGAAGAGCCAUUGCGAAGAUUGUUUGGCGCUCAAAGCGUUCUCAACUUUAGUGCAAUCGCAGCGGGAUCUACCCUUUCCUCGUCCUCUGCGGAGGGUGGGAUUGGGAGGUUUCAAUUCGAUUCCGAUUACUCUGGA